GAAACCUGCCUGAGCUUUAAGAUGGCUUUCUCUGGAGAGUCUCAGGCAAAAGUCACAAUUCUCAGGGCUGCUGUGGGCAGCCCACCCAAGCACACAGAAUGGUGCCUGCCAUCCAGUCAGGGCUCAAUAAAUGCUGCCGGUGUACAUGUUUCCUGAGAGCAUCUGCUGACUCAAAAUCCACUCUUUCAGGGCGACAACCAUAUAUUCACACCGUAGCUGAGUGGGUGUUAGCUGGUAAGUGUGGUUGGGCCCCAGUGAAACCAGGAGUUGGAGCGACCACAGCACGGUCUCCCCACUGUCCCAGGAGGUGAGGAGGCGGGGGAGAUGACUGGCCUCAGGUAUAGCUGGCUCAAUCCUCCCCCCUGCCUCCAAGGGGGCUCAAACCCUGCCUGGCACACAGCGGGCCCUCAGGAAAUACUCAAUGACCCACCACCAGGGCACUGCUGUUGGGGAGGGUUGACACUGUGAAUGUGGGAGAAAAACAAUUUAACCAGCGAGACGGCAGGACAAAGGGAGGGGUAGGGGCACAUCAAGUUCAUGCACAGACCUCCUGGGCCAGAGGGUCCAUGGGCUCCAUCGGGGGUCUCCGCGAAGCAGGGCUGAGCUAGGGGCCUUCCUGUUUCCUGAGCCCUUCCUCGCCUUUCCUGAGGGUCAAGCCAUCCUCUUUUCUGUGGCAACCCUCCUGAAAAGCAGGGCUUUUGACUAAGUCAGUGGUUUUGUUUUUUUCUUGCAGUAAUACAUCUUCCUAAUGCACUCUGACACAAAGCCCCAGGACACAAACCGAAACUCGGGUGGGAGCCAUUAGCCUUUACGUGGACCUUCUACACCUGGUGGCACCCUCUCCCUGCCUUCUCCCCCAUCUGGCCCGUGCGGGACUGCCAGGCGGCCCUCUCCCCGUGUCAUCCUUUUAACAACAUCAGCAAGAGACUCGCAAUGGACACUGCCUCGUUUCUUUAUUCCGGCCUUUGGGAGGGACAGUGACAGCAUUUCCCGCCUUGACGGAAGGCGAAACCUGGUCUUUCCUUGUAAAGAAAGAA